AAUCAACGCUGGCGGCAUGCCUAACACAUGCAAGUCGAACGAGACCUUCGGGUCUAGUGGCGCACGGGUGCGUAACGCGUGGGAAUCUGCCCUUGGGUGCGGAAUAACAGUUAGAAAUGACUGCUAAUACCGGAUAAUGACGUAAGUCCAAAGAUUUAUCGCCCAAGGAUGAGCCCGCGUAGGAUUAGCUUGUUGGUGAGGUAAAGGCUCACCAAGGCGACGAUCCUUAGCUGGUCUGAGAGGAUGAUCAGCCACACUGGGACUGAGACACGGCCCAGACUCCUACGGGAGGCAGCAGUGGGGAAUAUUGGACAAUGGGCGAAAGCCUGAUCCAGCAAUGCCGCGUGAGUGAUGAAGGCCUUAGGGUUGUAAAGCUCUUUUACCCGGGAUGAUAAUGACAGUACCGGGAGAAUAAGCCCCGGCUAACUCCGUGCCAGCAGCCGCAGUAACAC
rnacentral:rRNA from 1 species